GGAUCAUGAAAUCGGAUCGGUAAGCUAGGUAAACACAACUUCUUUUCUUUGAUGAAAUCGAGAAGGAGCGUGAGGGCACUUCAUUCAAUCCAGGUCAACCAUCAACUGCUGUAAAAAGCGAUAUUCCACUGAGUAGUACACGGAAUUGUUCAUUCAGUACUAUAGAGUGACCACGGUUGUUUGUGUCUAAGUCAGGCACUCGUAUGCACUCUGCGAUCAACUUUUACUAAAGAUCUUGUCGUUGUUUGAGUAUUUCAGGAUGAUUUCAAGACAUUUGUUCAUCAUCCUACUCUGUGUCGCCGUCGUCGGUAUGGUGGUUGAGGUGGUCAUCGCCGAUAACGAGGAUGCUCAGCAGUCUCAAACAGGACUGCUGCGGUGGCUUUUCUCAUUAAGGGGGGCCAGUGAGGAAGUUCUGGGAGGUAAAUUGCGAUGCCCGCCGAGAUGUGGGGGUUACAGUCAGUCCGCAAGCCCUGAAAAAGUAGCUUCUUUUAUCCAAGUGAUACUUUUAUCCAAGUGAUAUUCAUGACAAGAGGGUUUUUGCAUAGUUAAUGAGCUUGGUGCGAACCAAAACACCUCUUUUUAUUCGGCCACUGCUGCUCUAAAUAUCGACAAAAUUUCAUGUUUUUGGUAUUUUUGUAAAGAAGAAGAAUCAUUCUUUUAGGUCAUGUGUUUGGAUUCUUAAAAGAAUGUUGUAAUAUAGGAAAAACUUUUGAUCUAAAACAUGAAACAAAAUAUUUUUUUUCAUGCAACAAAAGUUGUUAUUUUUACACUUAAUUUCUGUUUAGGCACAAAUGAUUUUUAAAUCAUGAUAAAGCUGAAGAUCUAAGCUUUAAUAUGAUAUAAUUUUUAUAAGAAGAUGUAUUUUAGAUGGGUCAGCAGCCAGCUUUUCAUAGGCCAAGUACAUUUUGCAGCUCAAAAACAAGAAUACUGCGCUCUGAUUGGUCAUAGACCACACACCCACGCAAAUUCCAAUGAUCCCCACACUGGGCCUCUGCAAGGUCACACUCACCAUGUGGUAAUCUCUUCAAAUUACCCGCGCCUGUUUGUUUUGAAAACAGUAUUCAGCCAAUCAGAACUCUGGAUUUUAUGUUACUCAGAAAUUUCAGAAAUCUCGUCUUGCAUCUUGAUGGAAAUAACUGGCUGCUGACCCAUCUAAAAGAUGCCACAUAUCAAGAGUGACAUUGUAAGAAAGUACAGAGUUUGAGCUUUCUGAUGAUAUAAAUAAUGUUGGUGCCUAAAACACAAAAUGUUGCACAAUUUGCAAGUGAAAACAGAGGAAGAAAAUUCUGUUUGAUGCAUCUUUUCAGGUAAAGAAUUCACUUAUUUAGCAAAAUAUUUCAUUCAAAAGAAAUGACCAAUAUAAAAGGGUAACAUUUACUCUUGCCCAUGGUACAAAAAUAAUCAAUAUUACUCAAGGAAAAAGUGGUUAAAUUCUUUGAGAAAGAAAGUCUCACAAUUCACGAGAUUUUGCAGGGACAUGAAUUCAGCCACGUGAGGACUUGGAUAAAUCUUGCUCAUUUGCUCAUUAACACAGGGGCUUGCGGACUGACUGGUUAGGACAACUAUGCAGGCGUUUUGAAGUGUGGUGUUACGGAUCCCGAUCGGCAUGUAAUUGAUACAGUGAAAUCUUUGUAGGCCCUACAAAAAAUUGCUGAUUUGGAUAUUCGGAUUUCAUUUAUACAGUUUAACUGUUUAUAGACUUGCUGUAUGUAGUCAGCACAUUUGUGCGCUUUGAAACAGCCGUAGGAAGCGCCCUACAAAUAUCUGUUUGAAAUAAUAAAUCUAACAAUUAGUGUUGUUGGUGUCAUCAUUAUUUUAAUCAUCGUCAAUGUAAGAUAAACUCAACGUACGUAGAGGGCUGCAACGCUCGGACUCUGACCAUUUUGAUAAUAAUAACAAUAAUAAAUGCAAUUUAUUAGGUGCCAUAUCCAUCUCGUAAGAGGUGCUCAAGGCACACAAGUAAAAGGGGGAGCAAAACAAAAUAACAAAUCAUCAUUGAUAAAAUGAGUUUAUAGAGGUUAAGUUUUUAGCGUGAUCUUAAAUGUUUCGACACACUUGCUAUCCCGGAUCUCUCGUGGGUGGGAAUUCCAUAGUAUGAGGGCCGCUCUCCCCCCCACCUUGUCUUUCAUUUUGGAACUGUAAGAGGACCUGAGUCACUGGAGUGUAUAGCCUAGAUUGUGUGUAGCUGUUAAUAAGAGCAGUGUUGUAUAGGGGCCGCGGAACGGUUUUCAAAGUGGGGGGCUGAGCCAAAAGUGUGU